rnacentral:tRNA from 1 species
GCGGACGUGGCGGAACUGGUAUACGCGCCAGGUUUAGGUCCUGGUGUCCGAAAGGACAUGGGGGUUCGAGUCCCCCCGUCCGCA